rnacentral:tRNA from 1 species
GAGGUUAUAGCUCAAUGGUAGAGUGUGUGCCUAGCAUGCAUGAGGCCCUGGGUUCAAUCCCCAGUACCUCCA